GUUGACCUCGGGAUCAAGGUAGNGAAUACCCGCUGAACUUAAGCAUAUCA
rnacentral:rRNA from 1 species